UGCAUUCUAAGUAGGGUGGAGUAAUUUUAAAGUUCACAGGACCAGGUAAAUUUAAUUCAUCAAAGAAAGUUAAGUACUCUCUUACUAUUUCUUUACUUAUCUGGGGGUAUUAAUUUCCUAUUAGUGAUUUUGUUCUAUCAUCUUCAUUCUCCUUGGCAGAGAAAAUAGAAGCAAAAUAAUAGUAAAGUAACUCUGCUUCCUCUUUGUUGUCAAUUAGCUUUGUCCUGUACACUUUGGAGUCUUAUCUUUUUGUGAUCUUUCUUUUUCUCCCAACACAGCUAAAAAAGAUCUCAUUUUGUUUUUUUUUUGAAGGAAGCAUCAGUAAGCUCAGCUCAUUCUGAACUUUAAUACUUUACUAUUUCUGACAUGGACUCAGGAGCAGAAGAGGCAAGAUGAAUGUUGGAGGAAUGGACUCAGAGAAGAGAUUGGAAAGGUUUAAAACUAUUUGUGGCUGGUGAAUGCUGUGAUGGGGAGACACUGGAAUGUUCUAAAAAUAUUUUCAGGGUACCUCUCUUGGAUCACUGGUGGCAAACAGCAUGA
rnacentral:lncRNA from 1 species